UAGUGGCGAACGGGUGAGUAACACGUGGGCAAUCUGCCCUUCACUCUGGGACAAGCCCUGGAAACGGGGUCUAAUACCGGAUAACACUCCUGCCCGCAUGGGCGGGGGUUAAAAGCUCCGGCGGUGAAGGAUGAGCCCGCGGCCUAUCAGCUUGUUGGUGAGGUAGUGGCUCACCAAGGCGACGACGGGUAGCCGGCCUGAGAGGGCGACCGGCCACACUGGGACUGAGACACGGCCCAGACUCCUACGGGAGGCAGCAGUGGGGAAUAUUGCACAAUGGGCGAAAGCCUGAUGCAGCGACGCCGCGUGAGGGAUGACGGCCUUCGGGUUGUAAACCUCUUUCAGCAGGGAAGAAGCGAGAGUGACGGUACCUGCAGAAGAAGCGCCGGCUAACUACGUGCCAGCAGCCGCGGUAAUACGUAGGGCGCAAGCGUUGUCCGGAAUUAUUGGGCGUAAAGAGCUCGUAGGCGGCUUGUCACGUCGGGUGUGAAAGCCCGGGGCUUAACCCCGGGUCUGCAUUCGAUACGGGCUAGCUAGAGUGUGGUAGGGGAGA
rnacentral:rRNA from 1 species